AGUAAUAUUGUUCUUCUGCAUGAAAAAGUUGGUUGAAUCUGUCUUGAAUAAAGUCAUAGAGGAGUUUGAGCAUCGCAUUGCAAGCCAAGAUGAACAGAAAUGCAGUGUCCUAAAGUGAUGGAUUUGCAACAAAGUUUACUAUGCCAAGAUUCCUGCGUAAUAAAGAAAGAGGAAUGCAUCCAUAAAAAUCAUGAUGCUGAAUUUGAGGAAUCACAUAAACAACUUCUGAAGCAACUAAUGCUCUUUGAUGAACGACAGAAAGAUAUUCGAGUUGGGAGCAACAACAAUAUUAUUAAUCAAUUUAACUUUGCAAUUUUUCAAGUUUUUGUUAGUAAAAUCUUGCCAUCAUAGUGUUUUUUGUUGGAUUUACCAGUAGAGCCUUAUGAGGAAGAGUUUAGGCUUGGUUUUAGGGGUGUGAUCGUUUUUUGCAAUGUUCUUAACAAAGUUCAACCUGGUAAUGUAUCCAAGAGAGGAUGCUGCUAUGAAAAUUCAGAAGCACGUACGCAGGCAUGCAUCUUGGAAAGCCUAUAUUAAACACCAUACAUCAAUGCUUACUUUGCGAACAGCUUUGAGGGCAAUCUCUACCUGUAAGGAGUUCAAUUUUAGUUUUUUAUGAAAUUAGUUUGCAGUUUAUCAUAAUAAAUAUUAAGAAACUCAUUUUGGCUUUUGUUGAAAGUUUAUUG